rnacentral:lncRNA from 1 species
GUCCCAAUUCACAACUUAUUGACUCUUUAAAGGAGUCUUACAUUCUCAAUUCAAGCUGAAGGAUUUAUUGAGAUUGCUCGUUCAAAAUCAGGUACUGUCAUUUCUCAAAGGCAUUACACAUUACAAUUACUUGAAGAUGCCGAUUACUUAGACUGCAAACCGGUUAAUAUACCUAUGGAUCCAAAGGCAUGCCUUAGCUUACAUGAAGGGGACUUAUUACCAGAUUCUUCACAGUACAAGCGACUAUCUACUUGACAUUGUCCAGACCUGACAUUACCUAUGCUGUACAUAAAUUGAGUCAGUUUCUUGCUCAACCUCGUUUACCUCAUCUCAAAGCUGCACACCACCUUCUUCGUUACUUGAAGAGCAGCCCUGGUCAGGGUAUUUUCUUCCCAGCAACAUCAAUUUCACCCAUCAAACUUCAUCCCUUUUCAGAUGCUGAUUGGGGUGCUUGCCUUAACACGAGAAAGUCUACCACUGGUUUCUGCAUAUUCAUUGGAGAUUCACUGAUCUCUUGGAAAGCCAAAAGACAAUCCACAGUCUCAUGGUCUUCAGCUGAGGCAGAAUAACCGUGCACUUGCUGCUACCGUCAGUGAAAUCAUUUGGAUCACUCAAUUGUUAAAAGAUUUUCAGAUUCCUGAAGCAUCUCCAGCUGUUCUGUUCUGUGACAAUCAAGUGGCGAUCCAAAUUGCCACCAAUCUCAUCUUUCACGAAAGAACCAAACAUAUCGGGAUUGACUGCCACUUCAUUCGAGAUAAAAUUGCAGCUGGCCUAGUUAAGCUUCUUUCAAUCCAAUCACCACACCAACUCGUAGAUGUCUUCACUAAACCACUUCAUGUUGCUGCACUUAGUUCUUUAUUGUCCAAGAUGUCUGUCAAAGACAUUUACAGUACAUCUUGAGGGGGAGUAUUAGAGCUGCAAAUAUAGAUAUAAAACUUGUAUAUAAAAUCAAUUAGUUGGUUAGUCAAUCAGUUGGAAAGUUAGUUUAGUUAGAGUUUGUUAAACCAGCUGGACUCGUGGUCCUUUCCCGUAUGCUAUUUAUAUAGCCUCCUUGUAUUUCAUUUUGGAAGUCAGUUUUCUAAAUGCAUAUCAUUUCAUUUCAACUCCAAUAAGUACAAUAUAAUCCACUUGAGUAAAUAA